rnacentral:rRNA from 1 species
CAGUCGCCGCGGGAAUACGUAGGGUGCGAGCGUUGUCCGGAAUUACUGGGCGUAAAGAGCUCGUAGGCGGUUUGUCGCGUCGUCUGUGAAAUUCUGCAGCUUAACUGUAGGCGUGCAGGCGAUACGGGCAGACUUGAGUACUACAGGGGAGACUGGAAUUCCUGGUGUAGCGGUGAAAUGCGCAGAUAUCAGGAGGAACACCGGUGGCGAAGGCGGGUCUCUGGGUAGUAACUGACGCUGAGGAGCGAAAGCGUGGGUAGCGAACAGGAUUAGAUACCCCUGUAGUCCCUGUCUCUUAUAC